GCUGCUCGAAUCUUUGCACACCUCUCCGUGGUGAGCAGCAGGCAACGGUCGUAUGAGUAAGACCGGCUAAGAUGUAAAU
rnacentral:ribozyme from 1 species